CCCUUAGACGUUCUGGGCCGCACGCGCGCUACACUGACCAGUGCAACAAGCAUCCGUCCUUGGCCGACAGGCCCGGGCAAUCUUUGAACGCUGGCCGUGAUGGGGAUAGACUUUUGCAAUUUUUGGUCUUCAACGAGGAAUUCCUAGUAAACGCAAGUCAUCAACUUGCAUUGAUUACGUCCCUGCCCUUUGUACACACCGCCCGUCGCACCUACCGAUUGAAUGGUCCGGUGAAAUCUCGGGACGGCGGCUUGGUCGCUUGCGUCCGACUGCUGAAACUUGAUUAAACCAUAUCAUUUAGAGGAAGGUGAAGUCGUAACA
rnacentral:rRNA from 1 species